GACGAACGCUUGCGGCGCGCUGAACACAUGCAAGUCGAAUGGAAAGGCCCUGCUUUUGUGGGGUGCUCGAGUGGCGAACGGGUGAGUAACACGUGAGUAACCUGCCCUUGACUUUGGGAUAACUUUAGGAAACCGGGGCUAAUACCGGAUAGGAGCUCCUGCUUCAUGGUGGGGGUUGGAAAGUUUCGGCGGUUGGGGAUGGACUCGCGGCUUAUCAGCUUGUUGGUGGGGUAGUGGCUUACCAACGCUUUGACGGGUAGCCGGCCUGAGAGGGUGACCGGCCACAUUGGGACUGAGAUACGGCCCCGACUCCUACGGGAGGCAGCAGUGGGGAAUAUUGCACAAUGGGCGGAAGCCGGAUGCAGCAACGCCGCGUGCGGGAUGACGGCCUUCGGGUUGUAAGCCGCUUUCGCCUGUGACGAAGCGUGAGUGACGGUAAUGGGUAAAGAUGCACCGGCUAACUACGUG
rnacentral:rRNA from 1 species